AUCUUUGAACAGAGGGAAAGAAACUGCAACGAAACAGUUCCUGAAUCUAAUUGUUGAUUUGUAAUACCAGCACUCUCUUUAGUUCAAGAUUUCGAGGUCAAGAUGCCCGAGAAUGAAGAAAUGAAACAACGUGUGACACCAUGUCUUCUGUUUGGGCUCGUUUGCUUUUCUUUGGGAGGUAUUUCCCUCACAGGGUAUUUCGUGACUCCCCAUUACGAUCACGGCUCUAGUUUUGGUCAUGAUGAGCCUCACUAUCAGUUUAGCGACAAAGAGGCUGCCUUACCAUUUGGCAUAGUCGUAAUGUCGCUUGGAUUUUUAGUCAUUUUUGCUGUCGCUGUUUGUAAGUGUUGAUAUCGGCAGGAACGGAUCUUUUUUCUUCUCGCUCACUGGAGAUAAACCCAGUAAACUGUUGUGAAAACGAUUGUGUCAUCAACUUGUGACUGAAUUUUUUUGUUUGUAGCUGAUUGGCCAGCAAAACUAACCCUAACCUAAUAUGCAUUACAAAAGUAGUUUGUGCGUUUAGCUGCAUUGGUGCAGGUACCUUUGAAUUUAUUUCAUCUCAUAGCAAAGACCAGAUCAAAACAAAGUCAGGUUACGAGAUAACAACUUUAGUUCUGUGCUUGUUAACCCGAAAAUGUUCUAAAUAAAACAUACACAAUCCAAA